rnacentral:rRNA from 1 species
CACCGCCCGUCAAGCGAUGGAAGCUAAGAGCACCCGAAGUCGGUGUACCAACCCGCAAGGGAGGCAGCCGCCUAAGGUGAGAUUAGUGACUGGCGCU